rnacentral:rRNA from 1 species
CCUACGGGAGGCAGCAGUAGGGAAUAUUGCUCAAUGGGGGAAACCCUGAAGCAGCAACGCCGCGUGGAGGAUGAAGGUUUUCGGAUUGUAAACCUCUUUUGUUAGAGAAGAAAAUGAAGGUAUCUAACGCAUAAGCACCGGCUAACUCCGUGCCAGCAGCCGCGGUAAUACGGAGGGAUCAAGCGUUACUCGGAAUUACUGGGCGUAAAGGGCGCGUAGGCGGGAUAGCAAGUCAGAAGUGAAAUCCUAUGGCUUAACCAUAGAACUGCAUUUGAAACUGUUAUUCUAGAGUAUGGGAGAGGUAGGUGGAAUGCUUGGUGUAGGGGUGAAAUCCGUAGAGAUCAAGAGGAAUACUCAUUGCGAAGGCGACCUGCUAGAACAUAACUGACGCUGAGGCGCGAAAGCGUGGGGAGCAAACAGGAUUAGAUACCCUGGUAGUC